UAGUUUAGUGGCGGACGGGUGAGUAACACGUGAGCAACCUGCCUUCGGGAGGGAAUAACGGCUGGAAACGGUCGCUAAUACCGCAUAACAUACGGGAGGGACAUCCCUUUUGUAUCAAAGAUUUAUCGCUCGAAGAUGGGCUCGCGUCCGAUUAGGUAGUUGGUGAGGUAACGGCCCACCAAGCCGACGAUCGGUAGCCGGACUGAGAGGUUGAACGGCCACAUUGGGACUGAGACACGGCCCAGACUCCUACGGGAGGCAGCAG
rnacentral:rRNA from 1 species